UACGUAGGGUGCGAGCGUUAAUCGGAAUUACUGGGCGUAAAGCGUGCGCAGGCGGUCUGUUAAGACCGAUGUGAAGUCCCCGGGCUUAACCCGGGAACUGCAUUGGUGACUGGCAGGCUUUGAGUGUGGCAGAGGGAGGUAGAAUUCCACGUGUAGCAGUGAAAUGCGUAGAGAUGUGGAGGAAUACCGAUGGCGAAGGCAGCCUCCUGGGCCAACACUGACGCUCAUGCACGAAAGCGUGGGGAGCAAACAGG
rnacentral:rRNA from 1 species